CACACAGUAACACACACACACACACACACACACACACACAGUAACACACACACACACACACACAGUAACACACACACACACACACACACACAGUGGAACUGUUGCUGUGUGGUGUUAAGGUGGAACUGUUGCUGUGUGGUGUUAAGGUGGAACUGUUACUGUGUGAUGUUAAGGUGGAACUGUUGCUGUGUGAUGUUAAGGUGGAACUGUUACUGUGUGGUGUUAAGGUGGAACUGUUACUGUGUGGUGUUAAGGUGGAACUGUUGCUGUGUGGUGUUAAGGUGGAACUGUUACUGUGUGGUGUUAAGGUGGAACUGUUGCUGUGUGAUGUUAAGGUGGAACUGUUACUGUGAAUCUAUCAUGAUGUAGAGAUGCAGAUCAGAUAUCAGCCUGAAGUCGACUCGAGCUGCUGAUCAGCUGAUCUGUGUCUGAUGUCAGAUCAGUAUCGGAGCGUCUCUGCUGGUCUGAAGGAAACAAACAUAAUUUAUGUUAAAUCAAUUAUAAAAGAUUUUAUUUUCUGAACAAUAAAACAAAUGAAACCUGA